UACAGGGGGGGCAAGCGUUGUUCGGAAUUACUGGGCGUAAAGGCUCGUAGGUGGCCAACUAAGUCGGACGUGAAAUCCCUCAGCUUAACUGGGGAACUGCGUCCGAUACUGGAUGGCUUGAGUUUGGGAGAGGGAUGCGGAAUUCCAGGUGUAGCGGUGAAAUGCGUAGAUAUCUGGAGGAACACCGGUGCGAAGGACGGCGAUCCUGGACCAACACUGACACUGAGGAGCGAAAGCCAGGGGAGCAAACGGG
rnacentral:rRNA from 1 species